GGCAGUUCCCGUCUCAGUCUCCAACUUUUCCCCGGCUCCCAACCACGCAGCAGCCGCACCCCGCGCACGGCCCCGGGCCAGGAGCGGGGCCCCCAACUCUUCAUCAGCCCCUCCGCGGAGGCCCGCGGGCGGGCAGCAGAACGCGACGCCCUCUCCCAGGCGGCCCGACCCGCUCCCCACAGACAAUGGGACCGGCACUCACCAGGACCACUGCGAAGCGCUCCUCCAGCUCACCAGGUUCGGGCAUGGGCAGCUUGAGAGCUGGAAUGGUGAGCAGCACACCCUGUCCUGGCUUGCACCUCACCAGGGCACCUUGCCCAUGGAGCAUCAGCCGGCACAGGACUUGGCCUGGGACCCUGAGUGAUGCUGAAGGUGUGGAUUCCUGCUCCACAGGUGCCAGGGAGGGUUACUCGAGAGACAGCAGCUAUGCUCUGGUUUAACUGUGCUGACGUCCACUUACUUCCAACACUUGCUUGUGCAGAUCAGAUGCAGCUUCAUCAAAGCAAACUGUGAUGUCAAUUGUGAUGAGAUCAGCCUCCAUUUUCUGCUCAAGACCACUCCUGUAGCACCAGCAAGCACUAAAUAUCACAUCCAGAUCUCCUGCAGGAAGGGUGCAUGCAGUUACGCCCGCCUAAUCCAAGACCAAUUGAUCUUUUCAGUCUUGCUACUUUUUCCCAAGGCACAGGGACACCUCCCAGCCUGUGGCACUGGACUGGCAAGCCUGAAGCCAGGCUGUGUGCAAGGCCCACACCAAGCGUGGAAUGACACACAGCAACUUGCAACAGGAUUAAGUGCAACCCUGACAGUACUGCUUUUUCUCAGCUUUGAGGAGAAGUGCCAUGUGGAAAUACUUAGCACAAUGAUUUUGCAUCUUCCUUCUGAUUUUUGAGUUGUUGCUUGAAAAUACAUAGGCUUAAUUGGAAAUGGAGGGACAUGUGUGCAAGGGCAGCAUGGCAAGGGGAAUGGAACAGGGCUCAGCAGUGAGAUCUCCUGCUAGUCUGGAGAGUGCUUUUCAGAGGAAGCCUAAGCAGAUGUGUUUAACAGAAAAGCUGCAGUAAUGGCAAACAGCCCUGUUUCUGCCACUGCCGGUAUACUGACCUGGAUUUCUGAGAUGUAAAGUAAGGCCCCCAUACUCAUUUGCCAUGUCUCUGUCGGGCCCACGUAUAGUUUUCUGCCCACUAACUAGACAGAAGGCAAGGCUUUGGAGUCAGCUCGUCCCACCUGGCUGCUUUAAUGCAGCACCUGGAACACAUGUGUUAUCUGACUCUUCACGCGGGCACCUAGCGCCUGAUGUUGUCCUUAAAUGCUUGUGCCUUGUCCUGAUCCUGGUGCAUGCUGCUGCCAUCUGUUCAAACCAGUGGAUACCCCAUAGAUAGCACUUCCUUUUCCUUUUUUUCUUUUUUCCCUGUAAAAGCAAAUGGGGUGUGCAGUCUGUGAUCCCUUCCUUCUCCUUUGGAGAGAAGUCUGGUGGGAAGAGCAGACACAGGAUCACAAUACCAUGAUGGAGGUCUGAUUUUUGCAGCAGCUUUUGCAUCAGCCCUGCCUGGACUCUUAUCUCACAGCACCGUCCACCUUCACAAGCAUCCUACGGCUGCAGUGGUGAAGAGCUGCAUUUGAGGGAGCGAGUCUCUUGCCUGAAGACCCAGGUGCCUGCAGUGGCACCAUACAGUUGAGGUGAACCUUGGAGAAGGAUGAGCACAGGACCCCCACAUUCCCCUGCCUGUAGUCCAGCAUAGACCAGCAGUAGUCCAGCCCCAGAUCAGCACUGGAAUGGCUCCUGAGAAAAUGCCUCCAGCAAGCCCAGCUCCCUCUGCCUCCAAGCCAGAGGUAGAGGAAGCAUGCUGCCCACCACCCCGCUCAGGCCUGACGACCUCCAGGAUCUUGUCAGGUAGGAGCAGUGCAGGAUCCUGUUAAUUUUUAAAGGUGAGGCCACACUGUUUUGGCAGAACUGAGGUUGUUCUUCUCAGUCAAGUGCAAACCUGCCUGGCACCAUGGGCUGCUGAGGACUCAGUCCAGUUUGUUUUUAGUAAAGCUCAGAUUCUUCUUCUCCAGACAGCUAGUCUGAAUGAUUUGCUACAGUUUGGAGAAAGAAUCAGUUAUAGAAAACAGCACAAGCAUUUGUUCUGUGGGAUGUAGUACAGAGGUGUCUGCUUUUAAAACGUCCCCGAGAGAGGCACUUAUGAAAACAGGGUACUUGCUCAUCUGUUACACUUCAAGAAAUUAACAAAAACUAAGGCUAAAACAUUCCAUGCACUGGAAAUAAGAGGAAACAGAUUUGUGAUCCUCACUCAGCCUGUAUCUGUGCACACCAGAGAAGCUCCCAGAAUAUGCACUGACAAAGAGAUGUGUGGUCAAUGUACAUUAAGCUUCCUGCUAUGGUGGGCUGCCUGGUGGAGGAGGUGAACUGCUGAGCAGGGUCUGAACACUGGCAGUGGCUCACAGCCUGCAAAUGCAGUCACAUUAAAGCAAAUGACAAGCCACCAAAGCAGAGCUAAUGGGACAUGGGGGUCUCCCCAGCAUGAGGAACCCAGCUGCCACACAACCUGAACACCCUGCCUCUUCCCUUCUCCCUCUUCCCAACAUGUUGUAGAUAACUUGAGCAUCACACAUGGAAACAUAAUGCAAAGGCUGGGGCAGAGGAUCCCCCAGAAGAGCAGUGGACAGUGAGAGGGCACCGAGCACUCCAUUUGCCUCAAAGCCCUUGAUAGCAUCACAGCCUCCAGCCCACAGCCAGUGCUCACCAGAGGAACCCUUGCGUGUGCACCCACCCUGUACUAGGGUGGUGAGAAGAGCCUGUGAUGGUGACAUCCAGAGCAAGCCAUGGGAUUUCUGUGUUCAGCCUCAUGCCAUCUCACUCAUGAGUAAAUGUAACACAAGUGUUAUUUUCUGGUAUGAUGCACCCUGGCCAGGAGCUCAUUCAUGAUUUAUUGACAGAAAGGCAAGCGGACAAAACACAACUUCUGAAUUCCCAGAAAGGCAAAGAAUUGUAAAUGCUAAUGAAACUGAGAUAAUGGAGCAGAAAAUAAUGGAAGAGAAUGAGUCAAAAGUUAAUAACUCUUAUAUUUGAAUAUAAAGCCGCACUUCCUGAACUCAGAUGGAGUCAGAGGCUAGAGUAGAUGUGUGUCUGUGUGCCUGUCUUUCAGCUUUAAACUGGCUGUAAAAACCAUAGCUAGGACAGAAUAAUUUAAUACAGGGACAUUUUCUAACCUUUAUGGACUGUUAUUAUUAAUUGCAAAAAGAUUUUUCUCUUUUUUUUUCCUGGGGCAGCUAUCAGUGUGUGGAGUGGAGGGGCUGUAUCUGAAUACAGCCUCAGCCCUCAGCCUCAUCUCCUCAGCCCUCAGCUGGCUCAUCGCUCCAAGCGACAGCCAUGGGACAAUGCUGGUCAUUGUGCCCACAGCAGCAGAAAAGCUCCGUGUGCUUCCACACAGGCUUCAGACAGAAAUGCCCCACAAGUUUCCAUUGUUUUUCCACCAAAAGCUCUUGACAAAGAACUCCCAAGGAUGGUUAGGCAAGAGGAAUAAAAUUAAUUUAAUCUUUUCAGCUGAUAGAAGUUGUUUAGAAGCCUUAAAUGGGUUUCAGAACUCAUGAGAAAAAUAUGGAUUUCAAUUUACAGGACUGAUUAAUAACAUUUGUCUCCCAGCAAAGCAGGGGGAGGGGGAAGAUUUCCAAGAGCAAGGUUUGUGCAGUCACUGGAAAUACCUUUUCCAGACCUUGCACUUUAAAGCAUGUUUCCUGAUCUCACCAUCUCUCUGUCAACAUCUUGCAGUGGUCAAUGGUCCCAGCAGUGCUGUUGCUGAGCAUGGCCCCCACCUCAGCCCUCCCUUCCCAUGCAGACAUCAGGGCAAUGCAGGGCUGGCAGUGCUGCAGCCCUCUCUUUGCUUUUGUUUUAAAUUUAGGGUCUGUUCUGCAUUCCCCAAGCAAAAAUGUUGCUUGCACCCAUUUCUACAUCCCUGAGAGCUGGAGCAUGAGCUUUCCUGGGAAUGCUUUCCACCGCUCACCAAACAAGCAACCCUGUGAAGGUGGGGAUGGCUUCUCUGUGUGUAGCUGUAGCCUGUGAAGUCCCACCUGCUCCUAUGGUGUGACCAAACUGGUGUGACUGUCUUUACCUCUAACACCCUAUUUGUAGUGGAUACUGAUUUGAGAUUCAUCAGGCUCAGCUGAUAGCUUUUCAGGGUAGCAAAAAGCACUGCUGUGUGAGCUCAGGUACACAGAUCUAGAGUUCCUCAGCUGUCCAGCAAGCUUGCUGGGAGCUGGACACUUGGAUGAGUCACUGCUUUGCUCCUGCCUGUGUCCAGCAGGUCCAUUUCCCUCCAGGUCCCACAGUGAAAGGUUUUGUUCUGAUGCUAAAUUGAACGAAAGGUCAACCAUGUGAGUUUUCCCAUAAAAGAAAGAUUUCCCCUUUCCAAUGAACUCUAAACAUCUCAACUUCUAUUACAAGACAAGGAUAACAGAAGUUCACACUGAAUUAUUUACUGCUUUAGUGAAACAGGGGACUGAAGGCAGACUGGCUCACUUUGGCUGAACUCAAGCAAAAGUGAAAUGAUGUUAGAUGCAGGAAGCAUGAAGACAACUUGCUGCAUCUUUAAUAGCUGUUUUAAGAAGCCAGCUGUGGGGGGACCGGAGAUACCAGCUGAUACGGCUUCUAACAUCCCUGUUUCUUUCUGGCCCACUGUACAGCUAUGUCUGAUGAUUGCAGUUGUGUGUGUCUUUUAAUGCUGCCAUGAAUACCAGCAUCACCUUUGAAAGGCUCAUCCCAAACCCUCCUGCCUCUGGAGACAUGCUUGUGAUGUUGGUUGGCUGGGGUUCAGGGACAGCAUCAAGGUAACCCCUCCCUCAGAGAUCUUGUGCUCCCAGCCAGCAACAAGACACUUUAUAUGAGGAGCUUUGAAAAGUAUGAUGGUGGUGUAGUCCUGUACCGGCUCACACACGGUUUGUUUCAGAACAAAGCAAGGAACAAACACUAAAGCACUGCUUCAGAGCCCACUGCGUGCUCUGCUCUUGUUACCAGCAGCAGCUGCACAGCUGGAAGGACUGCACCGUGUCCUUGACUGUCUGCACUUUCGGCUGACAAGGCGGAGGAGCUCACAGCACCACCUCCCUGGGAUAAAGCCAUAUGACAGAGAAGGCUGUUUUCUGAAUUUGUGCUAACACAAUUA